AACGGGUGAGUAACGCGUUGGUGAUCCUACCCCAAAGUGUGGGUAUAACAGUCCGAAAGGAUUGCUAAUACCGCAUGUGGUUAUUGGAUUUAGAAGCCGGUAACUAAAGGAGCAAUUCGCUUUGGGAGGGACCUGCGUCCCAUCAGCUAGUUGGUGAGGUAAUGGCUCACCAAGGCUACGACGGGUAGGGGACCUGAGAGGGUGACCCCCCACAAUGGAACUGAAACACGGUCCAUACACCUACGGGUGGCAGCAGUAGGGAAUAUUGCACAAUGGGCGAAAGCCUGAUGCAGCAACGCCGCGUGUGUGAUGAAGGCCUUCGGGUCGUAAAGCACUUUUCUGGGAGAUGAGAAAGGACAGUAUCCCAGGAAUAAGUCUCGGCUAACUACGUGCCAGCAGCCGCGG
rnacentral:rRNA from 1 species